rnacentral:rRNA from 1 species
AAGCCAUGCAUGUCUCAGUGCAAGCCGAAUUAAGGUGAAACCGCGAAAGGCUCAUUAAAUCAGCUAUGGUUCCUUAGAUGGUACGUACAGUUACUUGGAUAACUGUGGCAAUUCUAGAGCUAAUACAUGCUAACCGAGUUCCGACCGCUUCGCAGGCGGAAGGAAUGCUUUUAUUAGAUCAAAACCAAUCGGGUUCCGAACUCCGAAAGGAACGGUGCCCGUAACGUCUUGGUGACUCUGAAUAACUUUGGGCUGAUCGCACGGUCCCGCACCGGCGACGCAUCUUUCAAAUGUCUGACUUAUCAACUUUCGAUGGUAGGCUCUGCGCCUACCAUGGUCGUAACGGGUAACGGGGAAUCAGGGUUCGAUUCCGGAGAGGGAGCCUGAGAAACGGCUACCACAUCCAAGGAAGGCAGCAGGCGCGCAAAUUACCCACUCCCGGCACGGGGAGGUAGUGACGAAAAAUAACGAUGCAGAACUCUUUCCGAGGCUCUGCAAUUGGAAUGAGUACACUCUAAAUCAUUUAACGAGUAUCCAUUGGAGGGCAAGUCUGGUGCCAGCAGCCGCGGUAAUUCCAGCU